rnacentral:tRNA from 1 species
AAUAAUAGAAAGAGAAAAAGGAUAAAGAUCCAAUCUCUCAUCGAUUUGGUACUAACAUAAUCUCGAUUCCUAAU